rnacentral:tRNA from 1 species
GCCGAAGUGGUGGAAUUGGUAGACACGCUAGGUUCAGGGUCUAGUGGGCACCAGCCCGUGGGAGUUCGAAUCUCCCCUUCGGCA